rnacentral:tRNA from 1 species
GUUGGAAGAGCGUUGAACUUUCAUCCUUGAAGUCGUCGGUUCAAUUCCUGGA